rnacentral:rRNA from 1 species
CCUACGGGAGGCAGCAGUAGGGAAUCUUCCGCAAUGGGCGAAAGCCUGACGGAGCAACGCCGCGUGAGUGAUGAAGGUCUUCGGAUCGUAAAACUCUGUUAUCAGGGAAGAACAAAUGUGUAAGUAACUGUGCACAUCUUGACGGUACCUGAUCAGAAAGCCACGGCUAACUACGUGCCAGCAGCCGCGGUAAUACGUAGGUGGCAAGCGUUAUCCGGAAUUAUUGGGCGUAAAGCGCGCGUAGGCGGUUUUUUAAGUCUGAUGUGAAAGCCCACGGCUCAACCGUGGAGGGUCAUUGGAAACUGGAAAACUUGAGUGCAGAAGAGGAAAGUGGAAUUCCAUGUGUAGCGGUGAAAUGCGCAGAGAUAUGGAGGAACACCAGUGGCGAAGGCGACUUUCUGGUCUGUAACUGACGCUGAUGUGCGAAAGCGUGGGGAUCAAACAGGAUUAGAUACCCUGGUAGUCCACGCCGUAAACGAUGAGUGCUAAGUGUUAGGGGGUUUCCGCCCCUUAGUGCUGCNGCACGCAUAAGACACUCCGCCGUCGGGAGGUACGGACCCGACCGAAGGUUAGUAACGUACGAAAGGAAAGUUAGUACGGACGUGAGACGUUGCCGACGGACGACGACGAGGGGAGGAGGG